GACGAACGCUGGCGGCGUGCUUAACACAUGCAAGUCGAACGGGUCUGCCCUGUUUUUUGCGGGGUGGGUCAGUGGCGAACGGGUGAGUAACACGUGAGUAACCUGCCCCUCACUUCUGGAUAACCGCUUGAAAGGGUGGCUAAUACGGGGUGUUCUGGCUGUGCCGCAUGGUGUGGCUGGGAAAGAUUCACUUUUGUGGUGUUUUGGUGGGGGAUGGGCUCGCGGGCUAUCAGCUUGUUGGUGGGGUGAUGGCCUGGCAAGGCUUUGACGGGUAGCCGGCCUGGGAGGGUGGGCGGUCACACUGGGACUGAGGUACGGCCCAGACUCCUGCGGGAGGCAGCAGUGGGGGGUAUUGCACAAUGGGCGGAAGCCUGAUGCAGCGACGUCGCGGGAGGGAUGGAGGCCUUCGGGUUGUGAACCUCUUUCGCCGGUGAAGAAGGUCCUGCUCUUUGUGGUGGGGUUGACGGUAGCCGGGUUAUGAAGCGCCGGCUAACUACGUG
rnacentral:rRNA from 1 species